AUUCUGACCCACCCUACUUACUUGAUGCCAGUUGCUCUACUGUGUCUUCUGCCAGCCCAGACUGAGAUGGGCAAACUCCUGCUCCUCCUGCUGCUGGGGGCUUUUGUCCUUGUGUUGAUCCAAGGCAUUUGUGAGUUGCCUGACCUGAGUGCUGAGACUCAAACUCGAGUUCUCUGCAGGAGCAGUACCUGCUGUUCAAGUAAUAAUAUGAAUGUCCUGCAACAUGUUUGUGAAUGGCAAAUGUAUAGAAGGUGAGGGUAAAUGCACCAUGGAGGAAGGUGGUGCAUGCAGAACUGGAGAUAUCUAUCAUUUCAAUCCAAGAGGUGGGUUUCUCUACAACCAUACUAUACUGGAAUGUUCUAAAUCAUGAAAGGCUUCAGAAGAGAGUUAUUUUCAUCUGAAAAUUUCAACCUUUU
rnacentral:lncRNA from 1 species